UAGAGACAGUCUUAAAACAGAGCAAGAGGAGUUGUUGGUGAAGUGGGAAGUGUUGCCAGAUGUUGACUGUCCUGGGAAGCUCAAAGAAGGGGUUGGCUAAACAGGUUGUUUAUUUCAACCUUGAGGACAAGGUUGUUUUCAAAGGCAGGGGUAUUGAUAGAAGCAGUGAAAAUGCAUAAUAAUAAGUAACUUAACCAUGGUUUGUUGUGAGACUUAACCAUGGUUAGUUUAGGUUAUGUCUUGAGUAUGGCUAUAUAUAAGAUCGGAGAGAAUAAGAGAGGGUUAUCGGGUAUUUGGUGAGGUCUUUUAGGGGGAGUGGGAGGAGCUCCAUUAACAAAAUCCUCAGUUCUUUUGUAAUUCCAGUUCUAUAAUCUAUCAUAUCCAUUUCUAUAAGCAAAACGUAUCAGCAACUCAGAGGCGAAAACGGAUGAAGCAUCACAAAAAUUGACUACGAGCAGCAAGUCAUCAAGCUUCUUGUCUUUUCUCUGUCCAUUGCUUAAAGUUUUCUCUGCUGUUGUUUUCAGGGAGGUGAUCCUUGUCAACAUCGGAAUCAUGCUCUGGAGGAUCCAUGUAGACCAGGAAUCAAAGAUUCAGUUUGUGUCAAAAUGCUGGUGUCAAGGUCCGUGUGGUGAUGGGUGACAAUAUCCAAAAUGCCAGGGCUAUUGCUGUGGAGUGUGGAAUAUUAACUUCAGAUGCAUGUGCCUCUGAGCCUACUCUGAGAAGUUGCAGCAUUGGCUUCCCGUGUGCUUCCAAGGAGUCAAUUAGUUCAGCAUUUUCAAACUCUCUUCUUAGGGAUUGAAGUUCAACAGUUUUGAACUUUUCAUUACCUUGGUAGGAUUGCUCCAAGAGUUUCCAGGCUUGAUGUGCUUAAGUUUCAGAGAGGACUUCAUCAAAGACGAUGUCUGCUACACCAUGCUGAAUGAGUUGAAGGGCAGCAAUGUCUUUGGAUUUAAGCGAGCCUUACAAUUUCCUGUAUCUACUCCUUUUUCUGCUGUAGGAGUUGUAUGUAGGUUCGGCUUGGUACUCCAUCUUUGACAACAUCCCAGAUAUCUUUAUUCAUGAGUGUAGUUUUCAUUCUUGCAGACCAGAACUCGUAAUUCUGGCCAUCAAAGACUAUAACAAGUUGAGAUAAUUGCAGGCACAGGCUCCUAGCUAUCUAUCAAGUUGAGCUCUGAUACCAUGUUGAACUCUUGCUCAUAUCUUCAGGGCCACUUGAAGAGGUCAAUCAUAUCAAAGAGCAGCUUCAAAGGUGUGAUCAAGAAUCGUCUCUUCAUGGGUAUAUAAUAGCCAAAACUCUUGUCCUCCAGGUAAUCAUUAUUGUUGAGUUCCUCGGUUAAUUCGCUUCGACAACAAAGCUUGACUGGAAACAAUGGCUGAUAUGUGUUGCCAUCGGUGUUAUCAGGUAACUUUUAUUAUAUAUUGUCUACAUAUAUGCAUGUUGGAUACAUAUCGUAUAUAGAUAUGUGCAAUGCUUGUUGAAAAGAUAACUAACGUCUUACUUGAACCAACGUUAUACGGACAACGACAUUCAUAGAUAAUCAACUUUUCUUAGUGUGUCAAUAGGCAGGCAGCUUUGUUUCUCUGCAGUGUUGUCUCCACUGUCUAUGUGGUUUUGGUCUCUGAUAUAGGAGGUUCCUUGAGUAGUCCCCCGAACAGCUUUAAUGGCAACAGUGAGCUCCUCCUUUUCAAUCCCUCUGCUUUAAUCACAAUCUAUGAUGCCCCUUUGUUCUUUAAUGUAUUCUGCAGAUGCAUCACUAGUUUCUUCUAUACUGCGUUUGAAUUUGAUUCAAUGUUACUUUAUUAGCCACAUCAAAAUGGAAAGACUUAAAAAGAUCAUAGCUACAUCAAUACCAUUCUUAUUCCAGUU